AUUAAUUAUACCAUUAAGUAUAAAACUCCAGAAAAAUAUAUAACAAUCUAAUAUUUAAUGAAUUCAAAAAAGAGUUGGUAAAAAUUGCAAAGAGAAUGAGAUGUUAUGGAGCUAGAUCAAUGACAUUUCACCUCUUUCUCUCAGCUUUCAAAUGGUUUAGAUCAUUCACCGGUCACAGGAAAAUAUGUACAAUGGUGACAUUUUCCGUUCAUACGAGUGACAACUACAUGAUUUAUUGAAAUCAAAAGCAUCUAUAUUUCAAAACUAGAGAUCAUUACUAUCACUGAAUUUGAUAAAUCUUGACAGAUUAAGAUUACUGGCACUUGAAAGUGGAAAUCAACCAGCAUACCGCAAACUCGUCUUGACAGUUUUGCAAGCUC
rnacentral:misc_RNA from 1 species